UACGUAGGUGGCAAGCGUUGUCCGGAAUUAUUGGGCGUAAAGCGCGCGCAGGCGGUCCUUUAAGUCUGAUGUGAAGCCCACGGCUCAACCGUGGAGGGUCAUUGGAAACUGGGGACUUGAGUGCAGAAGAGGAAAGCGGAAUUCCACGUGUAGCGGUGAAAUGCGUAGAGAUGUGGAGGAACACCAGUGGCGAAGGCGGCUUCUGGUCUGUAACUGACGCUGAGGCGCGAAGCGUGGGAGCAACAGG
rnacentral:rRNA from 1 species